AAAUUUAAAAUGGAAUAA
rnacentral:miRNA from 2 species